CCUGAAACUCAGAGAUCCAUCUGCCUCUACCUACAGAGUGCUGGGAUUAAAGGAAUUGGCCACCACUGCCCUGCUUGUCUUUAGUUGAACAGACUCACUAUUAAUCCCACUGCCCUCUUUAAAGCCCUGAGUUCUGCCCAUCACGAUCUCUUACCCCAUUUAGAAUGUCUGCCUCUGUUUCUUCACCACUGGCAUUCAAAAUCCUACUUUUAAAAAAGGCUCUCUGUGUAUUUGCAAACUUACAAACCCAUGUUCCAUAUGUGGAAGCCAAAGGUCAAUAUUGGGUGCCUUCCCCAAUUUCUCUUUGUUGGGGUGACCUUCCUCACACUGUAUAAAAGUGUAUCUCUGUAUUUUCAACUGUUAAUUUUUUUACUAGCAGAGAACUAAGUGCUGGCAGGACUCUGGUAUUGUCAUUUCUAUGGCCCCACACUGGGUUUUCUAUUUGGUAAAUAUUUGUCCUUCCUCACCUUCCUAAAAGCAAGCAAGCAAAGACAUGGAUCAGGUGUUGUCUCACUGCUGAUUGGUUGUAAUAAAGAGCCAAUGGGCCAAUAGCUGGGACAGGAAGUACAAGGGCAGAACUUCCUGCCGGAGAGAGUGCCAGAGAAGAUUCAGAAACAGACAUGGAAGAGACAGACACAGCCAGAGCAGACGAGGGAGGUACAGAGUUAGUCACAUGGUGGGGUCGUAAGCUAGAAUAGUCUAAGUGUAAACAGCAGCUGAGAGAUUGCCCCAACUAACGGCCUACAACUUUAAACUGUAUGAAAGUCUCUGUGUUAUUAUUGAACCGCUGAAGUGUCUGAGAAAGUCUUGUAAUAGCUCCCAACCUUAUUUUUGAGACAGGGUCUCUCACUGACCCUGGAGCACUGGCCAUCAAGACCCAAGAGAGCCUUUAGAUUUUCAUGGAGGGAAUCAUCCUGCAGCCUGUAGCUCCUCCGUGCUGGCAUCCAAAGUCAGGUCUAACGCGUGUGUGACAGUACCAAUGGAGCCAUUCUAACCUUCAAAAGACGUCUUUUCUCUCUCUCUCUCUCUCUCUCUCUCUCUCUUUCUUCCUUUCUUUCAUGGAAUAAAAAUAAUUCUGUCAUCUUCAGAAUUUUUGCCAACAGUGACUGUGCUGGGUAGUUUUUAUUGUUAAGUUGGAAAAAAAACUAGAGUCAGUCACCCAAGGAGAGGGAGCUCCAGUUGAGGCCUUCCCUAGUCAGGCUGACCUGUAGAAGUGUUGUGGAGCAUUUUUCUUGAUUGCUAGUUGAUGUAGGAGGGUCCAUCCCGCUCAAGAAGCAAGCUGCUUUGGAUCCUCUGAGAGCUCUCAUGCUCCAAGGAGAGGCACACGGUGGCGCACACACACACACACACACACACACACACACACACACACACACACACACCGAAAGCAAAUUUUAAAAAGUGUGCGCCACUUUGCUCAUGUCAAAGUUGACAGAGUUUUGUCCUACAUUCAAAUGAAAGCAUUUACACUCUGGUGUGCUGCAUAUGCCACGGGCUCUAAUGUGUCAUCGUGGCAUUGUAAGGCCUAGUAUCUUAUUAUUCAGUGUUCCUGCUUUUAAAGAUGCUCAGCAGGGUAAGCAUUCCUCAGUGAUUUUUGGACAGUGUUAAAAAAUGCUCAUAAAUUACUUAAAACUUCUGUAGUCUGUGAUAUUACGUGUGUGUUACCUACGCUAAACUGUCACCCAGGUGCCAUGGGACAUCAGUGAGGAAGUGCGCUAACUCAGCCCAGGGACAGCAUCUACAGAGUCUCCAGCCAACCUGAGGCUCAGAUGAUUGACAGGACAUCGGAGACUCGGCUAACUGCCAUAGUUACGGGUGAAGACUGGCCUGUUAAUAGUGUGAAAACCGUCUACCGAAGUGGAACUCUAAUAAAAUGGAACCGUGAAGAAAGAGCCUUCCUGUGCAUGCUCCUUAACAAGAACUGCCAUGCAAGAUUUCCUAAGAGCUUUCCAGGGAAGGCUUCUCUGUUUGCUGUCUCCUACCUGCACAGGCUGACAUUCUCACGAACGGUGGUGUGUAAGAGAGUCAGUUUCUGCAUAUCCUCACCAACGCUGCAGCCUCACCAACACUGCAUUCUUACCAACACUAGCCAUUGUACUUUUUGUUUGUUCGUUUGUUUGUUUUGUUUUUUUGAGACAGGCCUUCUCUGUGUAGCCCUGGCUGUCCUGGAACUCGUUUGUAGAUCAGGCUGGCCUUGAACUCAAGAGAUCUGCCUGCCUCUGCCUCCUAGCUCUGGGACUAAAGGUGUGCGCCACCACCUUCUGACAUGUCCUUGUACUUUUGAUUUGUAUCUUCUUUAAUAAUUAAAAUGCUUUUGCUCACUGA